AGCGAACGCUGGCGGCAGGCCUAACACAUGCAAGUCGAACGGAUCCUUCGGGAUUAGUGGCGGACGGGUGAGUAACACGUGGGAACGUGCCCUUUGGUUCGGAACAACUCAGGGAAACUUGAGCUAAUACCGGAUGUGCCCUUCGGGGGAAAGAUUUAUCGCCAUUGGAGCGGCCCGCGUCUGAUUAGCUAGUUGGUGAGGUAACGGCCCACCAAGGCGACGAUCAGUAGCUGGUCUGAGAGGAUGAUCAGCCACACUGGGACUGAGACAUGGCCCAGACUCCUACGGGAGGCAGCAGUGGGGAAUCUUGCGCAAUGGGCGAAAGCCUGACGCAGCCAUGCCGCGUGAAUGAUGAAGGUCUUAGGAUUGUAAAAUUCUUUCAGCGGGGACGAUAAUGACGGUACCCGCAGAAGAAGCUCCGGCUAACUUCGUG
rnacentral:rRNA from 1 species